AGGUAAGUCAGUCCCAGUAUUAGGAAAAAUAAGCAGGCAGCAGUUAAGAGAAACAUCGACAAGUAGUGGGCACUGAAACUCCCUGUUGGGGACACCUCCUCCCGUUUAAAUUGCUGGAGAAGUUCCUCUUCGGGUUCGGAAAGCUUCGUUGCUGCUCUUCCUCUCGAAGCUUCUUCAGCUUCUUGAGGUAGACCGGGCGGGUGCUCUCCGUCACUGGUCCGGGAGACAGGCCGUAACGGCGGAGCUGAGAGAAAAGCUCCUCAUCCGAGAGCUGCUGCAUUUUCUCUCCAGGGUGUUUUACAAGCUCCGCGCUACCGGAAGUGACGCGCCGCCCUAGACCCUGAACUAGACCGCGCUGCGUCGCCCUCCCAGCGCC
rnacentral:lncRNA from 1 species